GCCAUGUCUUCUAAUCUGGGUCAGGGUGCUGUGAAUAUUGCAACAUGGUAAUUAUGCUUGGGCUAAUAGCUUGUUAGAGAACAGAAGCCUGAAUGAUGCUGUUUUGGUCAAUGCUGGUAUAGUUGAAGUCAUCUAAAAGUUGUUUUCCUUGGGGAACUUAAUAUUUUAUUUGGCCUGAAGGUCCAUGUAAAAUUCUUUCUGAUGUGAGUUUAUCACCUUGUAUUAUACACAUACACACACAAACAUAUAUAAGAUGAAGAUGGUGAGAAUUGUUUUGAAUUAUUGUUGUUUUUAGAUCAUAGUAAUUGAUCCAAUGAAU
rnacentral:misc_RNA from 1 species